rnacentral:lncRNA from 14 species
CCUGGAGAGGGGCUUGGGACAAGGGCCUGUAGGGACAGGCCAAGGGGAAUGGCUUGAACCUGCCCGAGGGGAGACUGAGCUGAGCUCUUAGGCAGAAGCUGUUCCCUGUGAGGGUGCUGAGGCACUGGCACAGGGUGCCCAGAGAAGCUGUGGCUGCCCCAUCCCUGGCAGUGCUCAAGGCCAGGUUGGACACAGGGGCUUGGAGCAGCUGCUCCAGUGGAAGGGGUCCCUGCCCGUGGCAGGGUUGGAGCUGGAUGAGCUUCAAGCUCCCUUCAUCCCAACCCAUUCCACGCUGUUCCUCCGCAGGACGGGCGAUGCAGGGAAGAAGAAGCACAUCUGCCACAUCCCCGAGUGUGGGAGGACCUUCCGCAAGACCUCUCUGCUCCGUGCCCACGUGCGCCUGCACACGGGCGAACGUCCCUUCGUCUGCAACUGGGUGUUCUGCGGCAAGCGCUUCACCCGCAGCGACGAGCUGCAGCGGCACGCGCGCACGCACACAGGUGACAAGCGCUUCGAGUGCGCGCAGUGUCAGAAGCGCUUCAUGCGGAGCGACCACCUCACAAAGCACUAUAAAACCCACCUGGUCACCAAGAACUUGUAGGGCCCGGAGCUGCCCCACGGCCGAGCGGACAGAGCCCAGAGCCAGGGGUCCCCAUGCAGCAGUGCCACGGAGAGGAGCCCUCGGGGACAUCCUCCUGCCCUUGGCCAAUGCCACCACGCAGCAGCAGCAGCAGCAGCCGCUUCCAUAGGGGGCGAGGGGCUGAGCAUCCCUGCGGAUCCCGGGAUCCAGCAGCAUUCCGGAGCCGGGUACGGAGGGGACUGCGCACAUCGGUGCGGGCAGGCUGGGAGAGGCUCCACAGCACAUUCCUACUUUAUAUUUAAAGUCUAUAAAUAGCUAUAAAUAUCUAUAUAACCCCUUUGGAAGGUCCCUUUUUUCUAUGGAGAUCGUUGCCUUACGCUCCCCGCUCCCGAUGACGAGCACUGUGUAUUGUGAGCACUCUUUGGAAUCUAUUUAAUUUCUGCUGCCCAUUUUGCCCCCUUUUCUCCUAACAUUGCCUUGUUUUCCAGCACUGAAGACUCGUUUUUCCUUUCCCUCCGAUGAUUUCGCUCUCCCCACUUCCCCUUUCCCAAGCGACGCGGCAUUUCCUCACCGAUUCUGGGACGUGAGUCCCUUUCCCUCCCCUGCUGCCCGCCAGCCUGUGUAUAGUGUACAUUGUACCAUAGAUUCUAUUGCUUUUGUGUUUUACUACGUGUUUCAGAAAGAAAACCAAUAUGGCUUUGUUAUUUUUGAGCUUUUAAAUUAAACCAAAUCCACUUUAUUUUGGAGUUGUAACCACCCGGGGUUGUUUCCUGCAGGAGGCGACAGAGCUCUAACAUUCCAUGAG